rnacentral:rRNA from 1 species
UACGUAGGGUGCAAGCGUUGUCCGGAAUUAUUGGGCGUAAAGAGCUCGUAGGCGGUUUGUCGCGUCUGCUGUGAAAACGCGAGGCUCAACCUCGCGCCUGCAGUGGGUACGGGCAGACUAGAGUGUGGUAGGGGAGAUUGGAAUUCCUGGUGUAGCGGUGGAAUGCGCAGAUAUCAGGAGGAACACCGGUGGCGAAGGCGGUUCUCUGGGCCUUACCUGACGCUGAGGAGCGAAAGCAUGGGGAGCAAACAGG